rnacentral:tRNA from 2 species
ACUUAUCUAGUAUAAUUGUACAAUUGACUUCCAAUCAAUAAGACUGGUAUCUCCAGGAUAAGUA